UACGAAGGGGGCUAGCGUUGCUCGGAACCACUGGGCGUAAAGCGCACGUAGGCGGCUUCUUAAGUCAGGGGUGAAAUCCUGGGGCUCAACCCCAGAACUGCCCUUGAUACUGCGGAGCUUGAGUCCGGGAGAGGUGAGUGGAACUCCGAGUGUAGAGGUGAAAUUCGUAGAUAUUCGGAAGAACACCAGUGGCGAAGGCGGCUCACUGGCCCGGUACUGACGCUGAGAUGCGAAAGCGUGGGGAGCAAGCAGG
rnacentral:rRNA from 1 species